rnacentral:lncRNA from 1 species
UUACGUAUCGCUGUCCCCAAAAGAUUUCUCUCAACUUAACUUUGAGGGCUUGCCCUCCUUAGAACUUUGCCACCUAAUAGUACAACCACCUAUUUUUCAUAAAUUCAUGUUCUGAAACGUCUUCUUCAUAAUGUUGUACAUGAUAUGCAUGCAUCCAAUGUAACUUAUAACAUUUGAAAUUCCUCGAUGCAUAACAAAAUCAACUCACAACAUUAUUUAAAAACAAGAGUCUUUAGUAUAAGCGGCAUAGCCGACCAUAGCAUCACAUAUUAGGUGACAGAACCGAACAUAACAUCACAUAUUAGGCGGCAGGGCCGACCAUAUAAAGAUUUAGAAUAUAACUAAUCACACUAUAACAACCAUCAUAAUAUAAAGGGAUUGUUAAAACUGAUCUUAAGUAUAAAAGUAAUUUUGUCCUUACAUUGCAGUUGAAGUGUUACUUACCUCUUGAUCUUGACUUCUCUAGACCUUUCUAAGGUAAGGAUUCCUCUACUCUUGUUAUUAUAACUUAGAAUAUAAGGAAAUGAA